UACAGAGGUCUCAAGCGUUGUUCGGAUUCAUUGGGCGUAAAGGGUGCGUAGGCGGCGCGGUAAGUCGGGUGUGAAAUCUCGGAGCUUAACUCCGAAACUGCAUUCGAUACUGCCGUGCUUGAGGACUGGAGAGGAGACUGGAAUUUACGGUGUAGCGGUGAAAUGCGUAGAUAUCAGGAGGAACACCGAUAGCGAAGGCAGCUCGCUGGGACGGUACUGACGCUGAGGCGCGAAAGCGUGGGGAGCGAACAGG
rnacentral:rRNA from 1 species